rnacentral:lncRNA from 1 species
AACUCCCAAUGUUACGUUGUCGGCCGCCAACGUAACCCUCCGCGAAGUUAGGAGCUAUACACUUCAAUUUAACUCCACUUACUAGAGUUAUCAAAGAUACUCAAUUAAGAUACUUUCGCUUACAAGUCGAAUAGACCUUGUCUCUCACGAGCCUAUUUCCUAUAGUCCAACCGGCCUAAGGUUUGUUAGGUCCACUAAGACUGAACUCUAGGCUCUGAUACAAUCUGUGACGCCCCAACUUCCCAGAGGGUCACCCAUCCUAGGACUACUCCCGUCCUAGCACGGUUAACUCUCUUAACCUCUUGGGCCUUGCCACCACCCAAAAUGCUUAAGCCGGGUUAAGAGUUUAGCCUUAUUAUAUCUCAUAUAUAGGACUAUCUGGGGUCUCACAAUCUCCCCUCCUUUAAGCCCUGACGUCCUCGUCAGGCUCAGACUCACAAGUACCAGGCGAUGUGAGACUCAUCUCGCUAGCCCGUCAUCCAGACCCUGGCUCAGCCGAGACUCAUCUCACACUUCCGGCUGGUAAUUGGCUCUGAUACCAUCUGUGACGCCCCAACUUCCCAGGGGGUCACCCAUCCUAGGACUACUCCCGUCCUAGCACGCUUAACUCUCUUAACCUCUUGGGCCUUGCCACCACCCAAAAUGCUUAAGCCGGGUUAAGAGUUUAGCCCUAUUAUAUCUCAUAUAUAGGACUAUCUGGGGUCUCACAAUCUCCCCUCCUUUAAGCCCUGACGUCCUCGUCAGGCUCAGACUCACAAGUACCAGGCGAUGUGAGACUCAUCUCGCUAGCCCGUCAUCCAGACC